CGUUGAAAUACCGAUUCCCGUACAAUCACUGAAGUUAAGCAAUAUCGAGUCUGAUUAGUAUCUAGAUGGGUGACAGCUUGGAAAUACCAGGUAGUGU